UCGUGGUCGAAGCAUUUUAUUUCAGCUAAAAGAUACAAGCUGAAAAUGGUAAUUAAUAAAACAAUAAAACGACUAUUAAUGUUUUACAACUAUAACACCUUUGCUUUUCCUUUGCCUUCUAGUGUUGGGAAAUGCAGCGGUUUCCUUCCUUCCAUCUAAACCUGUGUUUUUCCAAAUACAAAUAUCUUAUAUUAUAGUUAUACUAUCUACUGAGUCUGCUGCAGUUUAACGUUUAUACCUUGGUAUGAUAUCUUUCCUGGCCAAGAUUUGUUGUUUUCUAUUUGAUCAAUGUUAAAUAUUAUACCAUAAGAUACAAGUAAAAUCACAAAAAUGCUGAACUUCGAGAAAAAUUCAAAAUGGAAAGUCCCUUAUCAAAUGGCAAAAUCAAAUGACAAAACACAUCAAACGAAUGGACAAACAACUGUCAUAUUUCAGACUUAGUACAGGCAUUUUCAAGUUUAGAAAAUAAUGGAUUAAAUCUGAUUUUAUAGCGCUAAACCUCUCACUUGUUUGACAGUCGCAUCAAAUUCCAUUAUAUUUACAACGAUGCGUGAACUAAACAGACAUAAUAGGUAAAUUU
rnacentral:lncRNA from 1 species